GGAGCCUUCCACCUCUGCAUCACUUCCUCUCUCGUUACUUUUCCUGCCGCCAGCGUUGCUGUUUUGUUCUGAUUUGUGUUGUUUCUUGUACUUCUUUUUUUCCCCCCUCUUUUAUUUUCUUCCAGAACCUACCAUGAUUGUGGCUGACUUUAGAGCGAUGGUCCUUUUAGCUUUUACACUGAUGGUUGCUGGACAAACCCUUGAGACGAAUUUCUCUAUGCCAACCCAGCAGCCUACCAAGAACACUUCCCAAACUUCUGCUUCUACUCAGCUGUCCACUUCUCCACAGGAGGCUCCUGCCCCUGUCCUGGUCCUGCUUGCAGUUCACUGGACUGGAAUAUGUGAAGCCACCAUCUAUGUGACUGGAAAUCUGUUUUUGAAUUACACCUCUUUGCCUCUUAGUUCUGACUCUGACAGAAAAAUACAAGGGAUUUUGCAGGAUGUGUGUCAGAAACAGACAGGCUGUCAAAACAAAAUGAGCUGGAAGAAUAUACCCAGUAACACAGACUGUUACAGAGUGAAUGAGAAAGGACCAACCAGGACAAGAGAUUGCCUGGCUCUGGGGGUCAAAUGCGAAGCUGUGGUGCCCUCAGAUGAGCGUUCAGAUCUGCACGUCUACAAGGUGGUAACGGCUCUGCUAAGCUGCGCGCUGCUCGUCAUGCUGCUAGUUCACUUCACCAAACCCACAGUGGAGGCACUCCAGAGAAAGCUGUCAGAAAGGAGGGAGCAUCGCUGGGUUGGACCAACACAAAGCCACAGCGUGUCUUACCACCGAGGGAAAACAACAAUUAAAAACAGCGACGAAGAGAACAGAUUGUCCUUCCAAGCUCUGGAGCGUUUGGCUAUCGGCAACAGCAGUGAGCGGACCAGCACCUACAACUUCUAACACCCAAAUCUGAAACCCCAUCAGGUUCAUCUGCAAGAGACUCGGUGGCCUCAUUGUCCUUUUUGUUGAUAUUUUUCAAGGAAUGAGUCACCAAAAAAAAAAAAAAAAUCACAGAUUGAGAUGAUACUUAGAAACAUAUAUGAAGGAAUAUGUUCUGAUCCAAUGGGAUUUUGUUUGAGAUUUUUCUCUAUGAACUUAAGUUCUAUGUUUGGUUUGUGUAUCAUUGCUAAAUGAGAUGUUUUGUUCUUCAUCUCUGUAAGCCACAGGUUUGGACGUCAGAGAUGUAUGUUAUGUCAUCACAUCAAUCUGUCUUGAAUUGUUUUUAGCCAUUUACAGAAGAUGAACAUGUCAACAGAUAAAUAAUAUUUUUCCUUUUUUUCAUCUUUUUUUUUUUAUUAACUUCCCAGGAAGUUGUAUUACAUUUAAUUAGAAAUAAAGAAUGUCAUUCUGGAAGAACUCAAAAGGAAAACUAUUGGCAUAUGCUAAGAAAAAGGCUGAUAUACAGUAUAUGCUGAGAUAAUUCACUUGUUGGACACUAAAAGCCUCUCGUACCAGAUUGUAGGAAAGUCCUUUAUCAUCAGCCUAAUCCCUGUGACUCCUGAAUACGAAAACUGAAACUAUUACAAACAAGAAAACAGUUCAAUUAUCUACAAUAAUACAAGUGAGAAUGCUGAAAAGUGAAUGUGCUUGUUGAAUAUGCUAAAGCUAACUGCUAAUAAAAGCUAAAGUUCUUUGCCUAAAUUGUUGAGAGGAUUUACUGAAAUGCUAAAGGAGUUUGUUGAACUUGCUUGAGGAUUUGAAACUUUAAGUAAAAACAUUGAUUUUUGGAAUCGAGAUUUGCAAAAGACUUGAAGAAUACAAGAAUUUAAGCUUUAACACCAUGUUACUUAAUAUAUAUAUAUAUGAGUCAAUAAUAAUUAGCAGAGCGGAUGGAAGUUAAAAACUGCCUUUAAUGAAUGAGAUGCAGCCUCUGUACAUCAGUAAUCACACUUCUCCCUUGAAGAUAACUUUAUGGUGUCCUGUAAGGGUAAAAAUAUGAAAAUUAGCAACAUUUUAAUGUACCAAAAAUGUAAUCUAGCGUAAAAUAGAAAUCAAUGUUAAUUUUGGUUUGUUUUAUUUCAAACAUGAAAAACAUUACCAAAAAAAAGCGUACCUGUAGGAAAGUCUCUUACAUUUAUUCGGUAUUUUAUUUUGAAAGACACUUCUUGAAGUCAUUUCCUUAUUUGAGGAAGUUUCAGUUUGGAGACCACACACACACAGAUGUUUACAUAGGAAUUCUAAAACCAUGUAUUCCUUCAACUUUUAGAAUUAAAAGUUUACAGGGACCUGGAUUCUCCGUGCACUUCUACAA
ensembl:lncRNA